rnacentral:rRNA from 1 species
AUGGGAACGCGAAGAACCUUACCUAGACUUGACAUCUUCUGAAUUACUCGUAACUGAGGAAAUCCCUUCGGGGACAGGAAGACAGGUGGUGCAUGGUUGUCGUCAGCUCGUGUCGUGAGAUGUUGGGUUAAGUCCCGCAACGAGCGCAACCCUUAUUACUAGUUGCUACCAUUAAGUUGAGCACUCUAGUGAGACUGCCCGGGUUAACCGGGAGGAAGGCGGGGAUGACGUCAAAUCAUCAUGCCCCUUAUGUCUAGGGCAACACACGUGCUACAAUGGUGAGUACAGAUAGAUGCGAUACCGCAAGGUGGAGCCAAACUCUAAAACUCAUCUCAGUUCGGAUUGUAGGCUGCAACUCGCCUACAUGAAGUUGGAGUUGCUAGUAAUCGCGAAUCAGAAUGUCGCGGUGAAUACGUUCCCGGGUCUUGUACACACCG